GACAAACUGCGUGGGCAAUUGGAGGCGGUUUUUUUGCUGCCCCUGUAAAGUUCUGCCCAAGGCAAAUACCUUGUUUGCCUCGUGUAAGAUACAUCACUGACAGCGCGUUCUGUAUUCCCAUUUUUCUAGGGGUCGUUUGUAGUAUCUGGUCCACUGCAAGGGCUAUGGGCCUGAGUAGCGUUCUUGGUUAGGGCAUUGCGGAUCUCCAUGCACCGUGCUUGAUGCGCCGUUUUCAUUCUGCACAUCCUGGUAAACCAUGUGGUUCCUGCCCUUUGGGCGGAGUUAAGUAAGAGAGUACUGUAAUAAGUAGGACUGCCACGCGGAGCUUGCAGGCUCAUGGGGGUGGCACGUUGCACGGGGGCGAACGCUAUGUUCCUGGAUACCUCCAGCACGGAGGUCACGCAGCGUUCUCCCCACAGAAGGGCAGAUAGCUCUGCACUAUCUGCGAGAUUUACAUGGCAUGGCAACAUUGCGCCACCUACAGGUGUUAUUUGAAAUUACAGGACCCUGUAGGUGUUACACUUUAUACUCAC